rnacentral:tRNA from 1 species
GGGUGGAUAGUUCAGUUGGUUAGAAUGCUGGUCCCCAAAACCGGCGACAAUGGUUCAAACCCAUUUCCACCCA